rnacentral:tRNA from 1 species
UCAUUGGUAAUUCAGUGGUAGAAUUCGUGCCUUCCAUGCUGGAGAUUUGGGUUUGAUUCCAAGCCACUGUA